GGUCGGUUAGCUCAGUUGGUUAGAGCGUGGUACUAAUAUCUUAUCUGAGGUAUUCAGUAAUGCCAAGGCCGGGAGUUCAAGCCUCCCACUGAUCA
rnacentral:tRNA from 1 species